UUGAAAGGGAAACGAUUGAAGUCAGUCGUACCGACGGGAAUUCAACUUCUUGAGCGCUUGUCGUGGGCGAUGUAGAGCUUCACGGCCUUCGUUGCUUGCGUUAAGGUGCUUUUGGGGUGUACUUUUCCGUAUGGUAGGUCAAUAUCGAUUUUGGUCGUCAUCGAAUGAUCGGAGGAAUGUGGCUUCGAUCUCGUAUCGGAGUGUUAUAGCCUUUGGUAGAUGUGACGAUUGGGAUGGAGGAUUGCAACGAUACCCUUUGGGCUAUCCGUCUGACCUCUGAAAGUCGCUCGGGUGUCGAAGCGUGCUUAUGACAUUCUAGUUGGCGGUCAAAAGGUUAGAACGCGAUUACAUUCGUUAAGGAUGUUGACGUA
rnacentral:rRNA from 1 species